rnacentral:rRNA from 1 species
GAUGAACGCUGGCGGCGUGCCUAAUACAUGCAAGUCGAGCGAACAGAUGGGGAGCUUGCUCCUCUGACGUUAGCGGCGGACGGGUGAGUAACACGUGGAUAACCUACCCAUAAGACUGGGAUAACUUCGGGAAACCGGAGCUAAUACCGGAUAAUAUAUUGAACCGCAUGGUUCAAUAGUGAAAGACGGUUUUGCUGUCACUUAUAGAUGGAUCCGCGCCGCAUUAGCUAGUUGGUAAGGUAACGGCUUACCAAGGCAACGAUGCGUAGCCGACCUGAAGGGGGGAUCGGCGACCUGGGAACUGAAACACGGUCCAGGGGCCUGAGGGAGGGAGCAGUAGGGAAUCUUACGCAAUGGGCGGAAGCCUGGCGGAGCAACGCCGCGUGAGUGAUGAAGGUCUUCGGAUCGUAAAAAUCUGUUAAUAGGGAAGAACAAAUGUAUAAGUAAAUAUGCACGUCUUGACGGUACCUAAUCAGAAAGCCACGGCUAACUACGUG